AUUGAACGCUGGCGGCAGGCCUAACACAUGCAAGUCGAACGGUAACAGGAAACCGCUUGCUGUUUCGCUGACGAGUGGCGGCCGGGUGAGUAAUGUCUGGGAAACUGCCUGAUGGAGGGGGAUAACUACUGGAAACGGUAGCUAAUACCGCAUAACGUCGCAAGACCAAAGAGGGGGACCUUCGGGCCUCUUGCCAUCGGAUGUGCCCAGAUGGGAUUAGCUAGUAGGUGGGGUAACGGCUCACCUAGGCGACGAUCCCUAGCUGGUCUGAGAGGAUGACCAGCCACACUGGAACUGAGACACGGUCCAGACUCCUACGGGAGGCAGCAGUGGGGAAUAGUGCACAAUGGGCGCAAGCCUGAUGCAGCCAUGCCGCGUGUAUGAAGAAGGCCUUCGGGUUGUAAAGUACUUUCAGCGGGGAGGAAGGGAGUAAAGUUAAUACCUUUACUCAUUGACGUUACCCGCAGAAGAAGCACCGGCUAUCUCCGUG
rnacentral:rRNA from 1 species